ensembl:rRNA 5S_rRNA 5S ribosomal RNA
AUCUAUGGCUAUACCACCGUGAAUGUGCCUUAUCCUAUCUGAUCUCAGAAGCUAAGCAGGGUCGGUCCUGGUUAGUACUUGGAUGGGAGGCCACAAGGGAAUACCAGGUGCUUUUGGCU